rnacentral:misc_RNA from 1 species
AAGUCGUAACAAGGUUUCUGUAGGUGAACCUGCAGAAGGAUCAUUAGUGAAGACGGAGUGCCCUACGGACGAACGUCCCCGGCACUCCCAACCACCCAUCCAAACCCGUGUGCACCGAGGACGCAAGUCCAUUUCUACCCACUCGUAUGUUGUAGUACGUGAAGGUGGCCUAACACGCCACAAACUUAUACAACUUUCGACAACGGAUCUCUUGGUUCUC